rnacentral:rRNA from 1 species
AGCAGCCGCGGUAAUUCCAGCUCCAAUAGCGUAUAUUAAAGUUGUUGCAGUUAAAAAGCUCGUAGUUGAAUUUCGGGAUCAAUAUAUUGGUCGUGCCUUCGGUAUGCACUGGUAUUAUUGAUUUCUACCUUCUGACGAACCAUGAUGUCAUUAAUUUGGUGUCAUGGGGAAUCAGGACUGUUACUUUGAAAAGAUUAGAGUGUUUAAAGCAGGCACACGCUUGAAUACAUUAGCAUGGAAUAAUGAAAUAGGACGUUUGAUCUUAUUUUGUUGGUUUCUAGGAUCGACGUAAUGAUUAAUAGGGAUAGUUGGGGGCAUUAGUAUUCAAUUGUCAGAGGUGAAAUUCUUGGAUUUAUUGAAGACUAACUACUGCGAAAGCAUUUGCCAAGGAUGUUUUCAUUAAUCAAGAACGAAAGUUAGGGGAUCGAAGACGAUCAGAUACCGUCGUAGUCUUAACCAUAAACUAUGCCGACUAGGGAUCGGAUGAUGUUAAUUUUUAAUGUA